ACUGUCAGUGUUUUAUUUUGAUCUUUGUUUCCACAGGAGCAGGAACAUUAGAAGCUGCUGGAGUAACUGCUGCUGUUCUCCUGCCUGUCAUAUUCUUCUCUGUCUUCCUGUGGAUUCAAAAAAUGAGGAUGUGUACAAGGAACCUGUUAAAUCUGAAGACAGAGCAAACAACAGAGAACAGUGAGAUGGGAGAGGGGAGGAGAGGACGGACUGGAAAAAGCUGAGACGGGCGCUGACCAGACUGUGAACUGUCACAAAAAAAGGCAGAAAUAAACGUGACAUCUUGCUGUAUCGAGCCG